AUGGUUAAGUUAGAAAGGGCGCACGGUGAAUGCCUUGGCACUAGGAGCCGAUGAAGGACGGGACUAACACCGAUAUGCUUCGGGGAGCUGUAAGUGAGCUUUGAUCCGGAGAUUUCCGAAUGGGGAAACCCACUGUUCGUAAUGGAACAGUAUCUUUAUCUGAAUACAUAGGAUAUUGAAGGCAGACCCGGGGAACUGAAACAUCUAAGUACCCGGAGGAAGAGAAAGCAAAUGCGAUUUCCUGAGUAGCGGCGAGCGAAACGGAAUUAGCCCAAACCAAGAGGCUUGCCUCUUGGGGUUGUAGGACACUCUAUACGGAGUUACAAAGGAACGAAGUAAAUGAAGCGACCUGGAAAGGUCCGUCGAAGAAGGUAACAACCCUGUAGUUGAAACUUCGUUCCCUCUUGAGUGGAUCCUGAGUACGGCGGAACACGUGAAAUUCCGUCGGAAGCUGGGAGGACCAUCUCCCAAGGCUAAAUACUACCUAGUGACCGAUAGUGAACCAGUACCGUGAGGGAAAGGUGAAAAGCACCCCGGAAGGGGAGUGAAAGAGAUCCUGAAACCGUGUGCCUACAAGUAGUCAGAGCCCGUUAACGGGUGAUGGCGUGCCUUUUGUAGAAUGAACCGGCGAGUUACGAUCCCAUGCAAGGUUAAGCUGAUAAGGCGGAGCCGUAGCGAAAGCGAGUCUGAAUAGGGCGUUUAGUAUGUGGUUGUAGACCCGAAACCAGGUGAUC
rnacentral:rRNA from 2 species